rnacentral:rRNA from 1 species
CCUACGGGGUGCAGCAGUCGGGAAUAUUGCGCAAUGGAGGAAACUCUGACGCAGUGACGCCGCGUAUAGGAAGAAUGUUUUCGGAUUGUAAACUUUUGUCGUUAGGGAAGAUAAAAGACUGUACCUACGGAGGAAGCCCCUGCUAACUAUGUGCCAGCAGCCGCGGUAAUACAUAGGGGGCAAGCGUUAUCCGGAAUUAUUGGGUGUAAAGGGUGCGUAGACGGAAGAACAAGUUGGUUGUGAAAUCCCUCGGCUCAACUGAGGAACUGCAACCAAAACUAUUCUCCUUGAGUGUCGGAGAGGAAAGUGGAAUUCCUAGUGUAGCGGUGAAAUGCGUAGAUAUUAGGAGGAACACCAGUGGCGAAGGCGUCUUACUGGACCGAAACUGACGUUGAGGCUCGAAAGCGUGGGGAGCAAACAGGAUUAGAUACCCGUGUAGUC